AACUGAGGUAUCAACAGCAAGAGGUCACCCAGCUAGCUGGUGGUGGUGCUGACUCCGAGAGACCCUGCUCUGGUGCCCAGAGUCAACUUGGCCUCCAGGAGCUUCCUGCUCCUGAGCCCACCCACCGUGUCCUUCAGGAUCACUCACCGCACCACGUCCACGGCCCCGGCCCGCACUUUUGGGUCGCUGCCCAUGAUGGACACACUGGCAGCAAAGGAGCCAUCGAUACUGAAGACCACGAACUCCGUGCCCUUGGGCAGCACGGUGAUGUAGCUGUCAGCGAACGUGUGGUCUCCCCUGGGAGGGGGAGCUCAUCAGAACCCAUCAGACCCUCUUCUUCCUGCCCCAGAGGUGGCCGGCCUGGCCUGCUUGCCCCCCAGAGGCGCGUACCUGACCACCAUCUUGAUGGGGUAGACGCCCACACCCAGGCGGUGGGUCUCGGGAAUGGUGUAGGAGACCCGCCCGCUGCUGUUGGUCACGAGUGUGUCCAGUCAGGGUGACCAUGUCCAGGGGCCCAUACAUGAACCGGCCCGUCAGGACCUGUGGACCGUCCUCGUUGGCGACUGCAUCAUUGAUCCGGUGGUUGGCGGUCACAUUCUGGAGGACAGAGGAGUGAGGCUGGGUCAGGGUAGGGGAUGGAGGGAUGGCUGGGAUCUCCUAGGCCUGGUGGGUGAGCAUGGGCUUAAAGCCGGACGGGCCAGGUUCAAGUCCAGCUCAGCCACCUGCCCUACACGGCCUUGGCACAUCCCUGUCUAUAAAACGGAGUAACAGCUCCAGCCUCACAGACUGAGCAUUAAGUAAGACAGCCUGCUUCUCUGUGA